rnacentral:rRNA from 1 species
GUCCACGCCGUAAACGAUGGGCACUAGGUAGCGGCCGGAUCCGACCGGUCGCUGCUGACGGAAAUCCAUUAAGUGCCCCGCCUGGGGAGUAUGGUCGCAAGGCUGAAACUCAAAGGAAUUGACGGAGGCUCACACAAGCGGUGGAGGAUGUUGCUAAAUUCGAAGCAACGCGAAGAACCUUACCAGGGCUUGACAUGCUGGGAUUAACUCGGUGAAAGCCGAGGGAUUGCCUUCGGGUGUAACCAGCACAGGUGUUGCAUGGCUGUCGU